UUAGCUUUUAUUAUUUAUAGAAAUUAUGAACGAGGUUGGUGUGUUUCUAAAUCACUCACGCGACUGUUCAAUGACAGACGUGUUUAGUUUUAAAUAACUUGUUUCAUUUCAGAGACAAAUAAUCAUGGUUUUUAUGCUAAAUGGUAUAUAUCUGCCUCACUCUCAGAGAAAUCAGUAGUACUACUAGGUUUUACACAGUAAUAAUAUAUAUCUGCCCCACUCUCAGAGAAAUCAGUAGUACUACUAGGUUUUACACAGUAAUAAUAUACAUCUGCCUCACUCUCAGAGAAAUCAGUAGUACUGCUAGGUUUUACACAGUAAUAAUAUAUAUCUGCCUCACUCUCAGAGAAAUCAGUAGUACUGCUAGGUUUUACACAGUAAUAAUAUAUAUCUGCCCCACUCUCAGAGAAAUCAGUAGUACUACUAGGUUUUACACAGUAAUAAUAUAUAUCUGCCCCACUCUCAGAGAAAUCAGUAGUACUACUAGGUUUUACACAGUAAUAAUAUAUAUCUGCCUCACUCUCAGA